rnacentral:rRNA from 1 species
CCCUUAGAUGUUCUGGGCUGCACGCGCGCUACACUGAUGCAUUCAACGAGUAUCGUGCCUUACUUGGAAAAGUUUGGUAAUCUGAGGAUAAUGUGCAUCGUGAUGGGAAUAGAGUUUUGCAACUAUUAGUCUUGAACGAGGAAUUCCUCGUAAGCAUGAGUCAUCAGCUUGUGCUGAUUACGUCCCUGCCCUUUGUACACACCGCCCGUCGCUCCUACCGAUUGAAUGGUCCGGUGAAAAUUUCGGAUACCGGCGUUGCUGGCGGUUCGCCGCCGGCGACGCUGGUAGAAGAUCUUUAAACCUUAUCAUUUAGAGGAAGGAGAAGUCGUANCA